rnacentral:rRNA from 1 species
UACGGAGGGUGCGAGCGUUGUUCGGAAUUACUGGGCGUAAAGCGCGUGCAGGCGGUCGAUUAAGUCCGGUGUGAAAGCCCGGGGCUCACCCCCGGAAGUGCGCUGGAAACUAAUCAACUAGAGUACGGGAGAGGGAAGUGGAAUUCCUGGUGUAGCGGUGAAAUGCGCAGAUAUCAGGAAGAACACCAAUGGCGAAGGCAGCUCUCUGGGGACGGUACUGACGCUGAGACGCGAAAGCGUGGGGGAGCGAACAGG